rnacentral:misc_RNA from 1 species
CUGCAGCCCGACUUGAGCGGAGCUCCUUUUUACACAACGAAGUGGUGUGAAAAGAGCGGGAGCGGAAGGCGGAUUAAGC